rnacentral:rRNA from 1 species
CACGUAGGGGGCAAGCGUUGUCCGGAUUUAUUGGGCGUAAAGAGCUCGUAGGCGGUUCGGUAAGUCGGGUGUGAAAACCCCAGGCUCAACCUGGGGACGCCACCCGAUACUGCUAUAGCUAGAGUCCAGUAGGGGAGUGUGGAAUUCCCAGUGUAGCGGUGAAAUGCGCAGAUAUUGGGAGGAACACCAGCGGCGAAGGCGGCACUCUGGGCUGGUACUGACGCUGAGGAGCGAAAGCGUGGGUAGCGAACAGG